UACGGAGGAUGCGAGCGUUAUCCGGAUUUAUUGGGUUUAAAGGGAGCGCAGACGGGAGAUUAAGUCAGUUGUGAAAGUUUGCGGCUCAACCGUAAAAUUGCAGUUGAUACUGGUUUCCUUGAGUGCAGUUGAGGCAGGCGGAAUUCCUAGUGUAGCGGUGAAAUGCGUAGAGAUCUGGAGGAAUACCGGUGGCGAAGGCAGCUCACUGGAGCGCAACUGACGCUGAAGCUCGAAAGUGCGGGUAUCGAACAGG
rnacentral:rRNA from 1 species